UGGUUAUUAAUUGUUUUCUACUUGAUGGUUUCACAAUACAUUAUAAAAUUAACAAUGGCUUACCGUCUUUAAACAUUCUUAAGUAUCGUCAACAGUUUUUAAUAGAAUUUUCUUUAUAAACUUUUUUCUAAUAAAACAUGAAACGUUAAAAGAUUGUACAGGACGGGAUCGAUAUUUUUCAAGUGAUUCUAGACUUUAUUUAAAUAUGUUUACCGAACCAUGAUAGUCUCAGGAUUCUCCAGCUAACAUGGGACAAUUAACAAUUCCAACCUGUUGACUUCACGACGACUAGUUGCUCAUCAGACCCCUUGGCAUCGUUGCCAAGUCCCGUCGGUCGGCCGUGACCUCUCGCGACACAGUAUUCGGCUGUCUUUUGUGUUUGUGUGUUAUAAGUGUACGCUGCUGCCUACAAACACAAAAAUAUUGACAAAAAUAACAACGCACAUGUUGACUA